CGAGCGGCGAACGGGUGAGUAACACGUGAGCAACCUACCCUCAACUUCGGGAUAAGCCUCGGAAACAAGGUCUAAUACCGGAUAUCACUCCUUUCCUCAUGGUUUGGGGUUGAAAGUUCUGGCGGUUGGGGAUGGGCUCGCGGCCUAUCAGCUUGUUGGUGGGGUAAUGGCCUACCAAGGCGUCGACGGGUAGCCGGCCUGAGAGGGCGACCGGCCACACUGGGACUGAGACACGGCCCAGACUCCUACGGGAGGCAGCAGUGGGGAAUAUUGCGCAAUGGACGAAAGUCUGACGCAGCAACGCCGCGUGAGGGAUGACGGCCUUCGGGUUGUAAACCUCUUUCAGCAGGGACGAAGCGAGAGUGACGGUACCUGCAGAAGAAGGACCGGCCAACUACGUGCCAGCAGCCGCGGUAAUACGUAGGGUCCGAGCGUUGUCCGGAAUUAUUGGGCGUAAAGGGCUCGUAGGCGGUUCGUCACGUCGGGAGUGAAAACUCGGAGCUCAACUCCGAGCCUGCUUCCGAUACGGGCAGACUAGAGGUAGGCAGGGGAGAGCGGAACUCCUGGUGUAGCGGUGGAAUGCGCAGAUAUCAGGAAGAACACCGGUGGCGAAGGCGGCUCUCUGGGCCUUACCUGACGCUGAGGAGCGAAAGCGUGGGUAGCGAACAGGAUUAGAUACCCUGGUAGUCCACGCCGUAAACGUUGGGCGCUAGGUGUGGGGGACAUUCCACGUCCUCCGUGCCGCAGCUAACGCAUUAAGCGCCCCGCCUGGGGAGUACGGCCGCAAGGCUAAAACUCAAAGGAAUUGACGGGGGCCCGCACAAGCGGCGGAGCAUGCGGAUUAAUUCGAUGCAACGCGAAGAACCUUACCUGGGUUUGACAUAUAGGGAAAUCCUCCAGAGAUGGGGGGUCCGUAAGGGUCCUAUACAGGUGGUGCAUGGCUGUCGUCAGCUCGUGUCGUGAGAUGUUGGGUUAAGUCCCGCAACGAGCGCAACCCUCGUCCUAUGUUGCCAGCACGUUAUGGUGGGGACUCAUAGGAGACUGCCGGGGUCAACUCGGAGGAAGGUGGGGAUGACGUCAAGUCAUCAUGCCCCUUAUGUCCAGGGCUUCACGCAUGCUACAAUGGCCGGUACAAAGGGCUGCGAAACCGCAAGGUGGAGCGAAUCCCAAAAAGCCGGUCUCAGUUCGGAUUGGGGUCUGCAACUCGACCCCAUGAAGUCGGAGUCGCUAGUAAUCGCAGAUCAGCAACGCUGCGGUGAAUACGUUCCCGGGCCUUGUACACACCGCCCGUCACGUCAUGAAAGUCGGCAAC
rnacentral:rRNA from 1 species